UCACAGAGAAACUGUAUGGCAUCACUAGAUGAAAAGUGACUAUCAUGCUGGUUAAGGUGAAACUUGGGGAUGCCCAAAAAUUUGUCAAGAUAACUGAGCUGAGCCUGGUGGAAUUUUUGAUUGCUGCAUUUUUAAAGUUUGGUGUUCCAUCUGUACCCAAGAAUGUGAAGGUUUUUGACGAAUCAGGGACUGAGGUGGAUGAUGAUGUUUUUGAGGAUGUAGUCAGAGAUCCCUCAGUUGGAGUUCUUACCAUAAAACAUGG